GACCGGGUGGCGAAAGGAUUCGCACCCUUAAGUACUAAAGUCGAAAGAAGCGCAUGUAUCGGAGGGGGUUCCUGGUUCGACUCCAGGCUCGGUCA